rnacentral:rRNA from 1 species
AGUGAACGCUGGCGGUAGGCCUAACACAUGCAAGUCGAACGGCAGCACAGUAAGAGCUUGCUCUUACGGGUGGCGAGUGGCAGACGGGUGAGGAAUACAUCGGAAUCUACUUUUUCGUGGGGGAUAACGUAGGGAAACUUACGCUAAUACCGCAUACGACCUACGGGUGAAAGCAGGGGAUCUUCGGACCUUGCGCGAUUGAAUGAGCCGAUGUCGGAUUAGCUAGUUGGCGGGGUAAAGGCCCACCAAGGCGACGAUCCGUAGCUGGUCUGAGAGGAUGAUCGGCCACACUGGAACUGAGACACGGUCCAGACUCCUACGGGAGGCAGCAGUGGGGAAUCUUGGGCAAUGGGCGCAAGCCUGACCCAGCAAUACCGCGUGAGUGAAGAAGGCCUUCGGGUUGUAAAGCCCUUUUAUUGGGAAAGAACAGAAGCAGAUUAAUACACCGCUGUCCUGACGGUACCCAAAGAAUAAGCACCGGCUAACUUCGUG